AAAAAGACUCUAUUUAGAGUCACUGCAUAUUCAGCAUACAAAAGAC
rfam:Ixodes scapularis strain Wikel colony gcontig_1107729094944, whole genome shotgun sequence.